rnacentral:rRNA from 1 species
GAUGAACGCUAGCGGCAGGCUUAACACAUGCAAGUCGAGGGGCAGCGUGGGGCAGCAAUGCUCUGACGGCGACCGGCGGAAGGGUGCGUAACACGUGAGCGACUUGCCCGUCACAGGGGGAUAACCGGCGGAAACGGCGACUAAUACCCCAUAAGAUGCGGUGCUGCAUGGCAUUGCAUUGAAAGAUUCAUCGGUGGCGGAUAGGCUCGCGGGACAUUAGCUAGACGGCGGGGCAACGGCCCACCGUGGCGACGAUGUCUAGGGGUUCUGAGAGGAAGACCCCCCACACUGGGACUGAGACACGGCCCAGACUCCUACGGGAGGCAGCAGUGAGGAAUAUUGGUCAAUGGGCGGAAGCCUGAACCAGCCAUGCCGCGUGAAGGACUAAGGCCCUACGGGUCGUAAACUUCUUUAGACGCAGAGCAAUAAGGUCCACGCGUGGACCGAUGAGAGUAUGCGUAGAAUAAGCAUCGGCUAACUCCGUGCCAGCAGCCGCGGUAAUACGGGGGAUGCGAGCGUUAUCCGGAUUCAUUGGGUUUAAAGGGUGCGUAGGUGGUCUUUUAAGUCAGCGGUGAAAGUUUGUGGCUCAACCAUAAAAUUGCCAUUGAAACUGGGAGACUUGAGUAUGUUUGAGGUAGGCGGAAUGCGUGGUGUAGCGGUGAAAUGCAUAGAUAUCACGCAGAACUCCGAUUGCGAAGGCAGCUUGCCAAGCCAUAACUGACACUGAAGCACGAAAGCGUGGGUAUCAAACAGG